AAUUUUAGUUCAAAGAGGUAGUGACGAAAAAUGACAACCAAAUAUUAUUAUUAAUAUUUGGAUUGAAAAUCUUCAAGUUUAAAUAACUUGUUGGUAAAGGAAAGGGCAAGUCUGGUGCCAGCAGCCGCGGUAAUACCAGCUUUCCAAGUGCAUAAAAUGAUUGUUGUGGUUAAAAAGCUCGUAGUUGGAUUAUAAAGAUUGUAUAAUGAGCAUCUUGGAUGUUUUAAUUUCAUUAUCAUCUUAUUAUUUUUAUUAUAUUUUUAUUAAUAUAAUAAACUGUUACUUUGAAUAAAUCAGAGGGUUUAAACCAGGCAUUUAUAUGCUUGUAUGGUCUAGCAUGGAAUAACACUAUAGAAAAAGUUAGUGUGGUUUCACUAAUCUUUUUCAUGAUUAAUAGGAACAAACGGGGGCAUUCGUAUCGCUACGUUAGAGGUGAAAUUCUUGGACCGUAGCGAGACGUCCUACUGCGAAAGCAUUUGCCAAGAAUGUUUUCAUUAAUCAAGAACGAAAGUUAGAGGUUCGAAGGCGAUCAGAUACCGCCCUAGUUCUAACCGUAAACUAUGCCUACUAGGUGUAUGAAUUAUUAGUUAUAAUAAUUUAUGCACCUUCUCGGAAACGAAAGUCUUUCGGUUCCGGGGGAAGUAUGGUUGCAAAGCUGAAACUUAAAGGAAUUGACGGAAGGGCACCACCAGGAGUGGAGCCUGCGGCUUAAUUUGACUCAACACGGGAAAACUCACCCGGGCCGGACACUAUAAGGAUUGACAGAUUGAUAGCUCUUUCAUGAUUUAGUGGUUGGUGGUGCAUGGCCGUUCUAUAUUUUAUUAAUUAUAACGAAUUUUAAAUAUAAUAUACAAUCAUAAUAAGUUACUUUCAGGUAUGCAUGGAGAUUUCUAUACAAUAAAAUGUGAAACAACAAUAAUAAUAAGUAAUGUAGCAAGAGACUUUGAAUCUUAGAUGGAUUCAAAAGUAUACACAUAAUAAUAA
rnacentral:ncRNA from 1 species